GUCACUCCUCUUGCAGCUAAGCUCCUUUAGCAUAACAAACUCUGGCUUAGACUUUCUCUCCCAGAGCUGCCAGCUCCUCCCCACCACCCAUCUGCUCUGUCCAGGGAGAGCUCUGCCAUUUCUUGCAGAGCCCAAUGAUACAUCUAGCCUGCCCUGGGAAACUGUGACCCCAACACCCAACACUUCUGUCAGGGUAGGUAAGGAGGACUGCUGCUCUGCUCUGUCCUCUGGGGCCAGGACUGCAUUCCCUCUGCAUAGAGACCUUAGGUGUCUUAGCUCCACUGGGAAAGAAAAGUGCUCUGAAGAGAGGCUGAAGACCUGCUUGGGUUUUGUGAAGAAAGAAGGUACAAGGCCUGGCAGAGACACAGCUGAGAUGCCACUGCAAUGCAGCACAGAUGACCUUCCAAAUCCUCUCUCCUCAUGGAUAUCAUGCUAAGAUGGCACAGAAAAAGCUGACUACACUUCUCCCCACAACUUGUGAUCCAGACUGUGUUGGUGUGAUCCUCCCUCCUCUGACCUGAUACCCCAAUCCUGGUGUGGUGACAGGAGGGUAUCUUCCCUCACCUUCAGAUGGGAUAACAGCCAGACCAAACAGAGAGAAGGUAGCAACACACAGGUAUGCAGGCCUCUUGACUUUCCUGUUGUGGAGCAUGACUCAGGCCACGUGCCAGUUUACAAGGCAAUGAAAGAGGAACUGGCUGUUCCCUGCAUUGCUGUGUCCUUCUUGCAGGGAUGCUCUGCAUCUCCUCCUCCCCCAGGCUGUAUUGAUCCUGGGACGAGUCCUUAAGCUUGGCCUUGCUGAACUUUUUUUUUUUCCCCAGGCUGAGAGGAGUAUCCCACUUCAAUGGAAUAUUUCUUAAGUAUAGACUACAAAUGUUGUUUUCAGUCCAGAGUAGAUAUGUUCAUGUGACUCUCAAAAAUUCUGCAAAGUGCUGGUAGUUCAGAACUUCUUUGUAGGAGAUGAGUUUAUAAAUGUUCUUGAGCAUUUUUCCAGCUGUCCAAUAUCCAACAGAGGUAUCUCCUCCCACCUUCAUAGUACAAUGACAUGGAAAUUGAAGACCUUUACUGUAGAAUGAAGCAUUUCAGGAAAGGUCCCCCUGAGUUUUCAUGCUGCUCCAGUAGUAGUAACCAUCACACUCUUUAGACAAUAGCUGAAAGAAAGUUAUUUCAGCAGAGUUUGACUCUAGCACAGACACAGGUGCCUGGUCUGGAGGUAUUUACCAGGGCACAGCCCAAAUUAGCCCAGGCUGAUGGAGCUUUGCUGAGGCCAGCAGAGGCAUUGGAUUUAGACUGCUUGAGGGUCUGCCUCACUAGUUUUACUACACUUUAAACAUUUGUGUUUACACAUGUGUAUUCUUUUGAUUUUUAACACUUUUUGGCAUUGCUAACCUCCUGCAGAUGAAUAGUUAAUUACCCUCCCCCCUGUGCACUUAAUAGUAUAAGUGGCAUUUGCAGGGUUUUUAAGAGCAUGUGCCAAGCAAAAGAACUUUCAGCAACCACAAGAAAGUGAGUUCUUAUGAUCCCCUGGCUGGAAGUGUAUGCAGGACCCUUGAGUGGUGGCACUGCAGUCUGCAAAUCCUGGCACCGUUUGGUUUUGCAUGUGCCGAGGAAUGCCUGCCCUCCCUCUGCAUUCAAUUUCCCUGUCUCCAGCUUUAUUUAGUUAGAUGUUUCUCUUGUGCAUCCAGUAAAACUCGACCACAAGAAUGAGUAGUUGCUGUUUAUAAAAUCAGCACAUUGCUAUGUAAUCCAGAUGACAGGAGAAGUGUGAAAUGCUGUUAAAUACUCGACUAUAACCACAGCUCAGUUAGAUCUAGACAGUUAAAGUGCACUGGCGUCUAGGUUUCCUGAAGGGUUGACUCUAGAAGUGGGAGGCCCACUUCACUUUCAGGGUGUAGGAAACAGAACAGCUUUCACUGAAGUGUACACGCUUAUUCUGACUUUUUCCUGGUAUAAAUGAAGGAGCAAUGCUGCCAGUGUUACAGAAAAUAUGAGAUACAUCCAUAAUUACUCUUAAAAUAUUAACCUUCUGGGAAACUCUAGAAUAUUUACAUUCACUUAGAGAAUGAUCACACUGAUAAAAUGGCAGUUUUGUUAACAGUAAGGUUUUGACAAAAAUCUUUCAUCUCCUUACUCUAAUGGGAAAAAAUAACAACUAAGGAGUUCUGGACACUGGGUUUAGGGUCUGGCAUUCUGGCAUUAGGAACACCAGUUGCUAAAUGUGCAAGUAUCUUCUUGUUCACAAAUGAUUUUUUUAAGUGCUAUUAGUGCGGACUGGAAGAAAUUUUGGUUUUUCUUUACAAAUGUGAUUCCUUAUGAUGCCUUAUAGGCUAGCCAGUAUGUUUGCCUCUGUAUCCAAGUAAGAUAUUUAAGGCUGAAAAUAAACCAGAAUUGCUGAAGGAAGACACCUCCCUGCUCCAAUUCUAUUGUCUGCCCACUGACCCCGGCAAAAUAUAUAGGGAGGAGAGGUGAAGCAGAUGGGUGACAACCCUCUGUCAUUCUCUGUUUUCCCCUAAAUUGAGUCCCACACUACUUGGUGGAAAGUACAACCUGCCAUGACCCACUAUUGAUGUCAACAACCCCAAUAAACUUACACUUACCAACGUUGCAAUGUGUUAAUGUGAGUAAGAUGAGGGGGUUCCUAUGGACUCCACACCCAGUCAUAUUUUCAUUACUGGCAAUGUAUUAUUGAAAGCAAGAAGAGAUGAAUGUAAAACAUCUACAUUUCUUUGUAAAAACAUAGAAAUACUGCUAGCUUGAACCUCACUCCUAGAAGCACAUGGUAAAGAAAUACCUCCCCCAGGUUCACUUCAGAAGUGGUGUUUCUGUAGCUAUAGGAACAGGAAUUCUGUAUAAAACAAAGAAAUACUUUAUAAAUGAGAAUGACCGUAGGAUUUGGGGGAAAAAAUCCAAACACAAGGUGAUACUCAGACAUUAUCUCAUUUCCCUGUCCAAAGAUGUGAAUUUCCUAAAAGAAAAAAACCCAGUCACUUCCUUUUUUUGUCUCUGCCAAUUCAUCUCAUGGUUUUGGAGGUGGAUCUCAGCAUGGUUCAAGUAUACAGAGUCUGUCUUCAGUCUCUAAAAUUGUUUCUUGCAUCACUGUAAAAAACAGUUGCACUGAGUUUAGUUUUACUGAUACUGAUUGAAUUAUUACCUGGAUUUACUCAAUUUUGUUGCAGUCAUCUGUAACAAGAAACAUCUUUGAUGCUGCCUCCUGCUGCCCAACCAUCUUUAGAAAAUCCCAUUACAAAACUCUCAGGGGGUGAUGUGUCAAAAGCAUAAUUUGUCACAGAGUUGGUUCCUACAACAAGAUGUGAAUUCUGGCUUCUCUUUUACCUUGCCUUGCUUAGUCCUGCUACCUCCCAGCUCUGAGUUUCUGUCUGUUCUGGGGGCUCCUCAGGUUAUCAGUCAAGGUAAAAGAGAGGUAAAUUUCAUCUCUUAGCUGCAAUUUCUGCUGUCCCCAUGUGGAGUGACAAACAACUCAUUCCAAUGUGCAGCUGCUGUCCAUUGCUCCCUCUCUCCCUCACAGGAUUGUGGCAAACUCAGCAUUUUAUGCAUUACAAGGACAUAGAGUUAAGUCCAGAAAAAUCCUAUUUGAAAGGUACUAUUCCCAAGAUCAUGCAGUGGGAUUACAAUUUUUAUCUGUCCACAGCAGCCAUUUCCUAUGGAAUAGUUAAUGUUCAAUAUUAAAUUCCACACCAAACAAAUAUAGGACAAUGCUGGGCUUUUUUACUUAAAAAGCUAGCAAACUUUAUCUGCUCAGAUGCAGCAGUGAGGGGAGAGCAGACACUGGUGCUCAUGAGCACCAGGAGUGUGAAAAGGUGUGUGAGCUGCCCACUCUCUCUUGCUUUCUCCAACUUUCAUCCAGGGAAAAUUUUUCCUUGUAUAUAUGGCAGCCUCUUCUUUCCUUCUGAGGGCUGAAAAUGGUCUACUUCAAGAUUGUCUGUGAUCUACCAAAAAGUUUAACAAAGUGAGGUGCUUCAUGUAGCAGUGGACAAGGACUGCAUAUUUCUGAAACUGGUCAGUACCUGCUUUAAUGAUCUCCCAGAAGCUGCUGCAGAUUGUAUUUGAUCUGUUUACUAUCUUUCCAUGAUUCUUUUUCCAGUUAUGCUCACAAGGAGCUCAUCUCCCUCUCCCUCUCCCUCUCCCUUUCCCUCUCCCUCUCCAGGAUAGAUACCCAACUACUCCCAUCCUUUGCCCUAGCAGCAGUCCCCCUGCCACACUCUUGUUUCCAGGAAGUGCUUUUAGAGACAGAAGGGAUCAAAUGUUAUCUCAAAUUUAAUUUUUGGAUAAGUGCAUUAUCAGGGCAUGCAUCAUGAUCAGGGAUUACUUUCAUUAAAAUGUAAAAAAUAAAAAAAAAUUAAAAAAAGUCUCAGAAGAACAUUCUGAUGUUCAAUUCCCCCAGCAAAUUAUGACUUAAUAUUUCAAGUAAAUGAGUAGAUCAAAUUAAUGAAACAGGCCUUUGAAAGGUAGGAAAUUAGGGACCUGCAUGAAUUUGUGUCACAGGCUCCAUUUUAUGAGCUACAUUUUACCAUUCACAGUACAAAAUGAAAGAGCUCUGUUUUAUCAGUUGCUCAUAUCCAGCUGCUAUGAAAAUAAUAUGUUUGAUAUAAUUCAUUUGACAUUUGAUGGGUUUAAGGUUCCUCUGACAAGAUAUAAUCAACUCAUUAUGGAGAAACAGAAACCUUCCUUGUUACAAAUAAAUUAUUCCUAGUCAUGAUUGAAUUACUGUGUGUUCAAUGAAAAUGGGAUGGAGGGGUUUCCAGUAGAGGUGGAUAUUUUAUCAUCAGGCCUGUGUGAUAAAAGCCAACUCAAGCUACUUUAUGUUUUCUCUCUUCAGUGCUCUGAUUAAUGAGCGGCAUUACUUUUUCAAACCAACAAAUUAGGUCUUUCCUCUCCAUUUUUUCACAUUAAAGCUGUUAGAUCAAAGUAUAAAAACUGUGUCUUUCUUUUUUAUGCACAAAGCCUGGAUAAACAGCUUGAACAGAGUGUUCUUUUACAUUAUUUUGUUAGUUUAUUUUUAAAAAUCUCAACGGUGUUUGUGAAGCAAAGCUAGCUUUAUGGGUGGGGUGUGAACUGUCUGUUUUAAGUCAGAACAUGUGAUUAAUUGAAUUUUGGUCUUAACAUCAAAUAUGUUGCACGCUGUGUUCUGCACCAUUACGUUGUAGGAACAGGAGAAAGUUGUAUCGUUUUGCUGGAAUUAAUUAAUUAAAAAUGCAUCUCUAGAGGCAGCUGAGGCAAUGCAGCCAUCCAGGACUACAGAGCUGAACAUGUUUGGGACUGAAGGAACGGCACAGUGUGCACCAGUCUGUGAGAUCAGCUUCCAUGAUUUCAAAGGAAUUUGCACAUGCGAAAUCUUUUUACAGUUUUUAUGGCCUGUAAAAUCCAUCAAAAUAAUGUUACUUGGUGGAAACAUAAAAACAGCAAUGAAAAUAAAUCUGGGAUGACAAGUUUGGGGAGCAGAUCAACAUGUGAGGUGGAACCCUGCAAACACCACCAGAAGACCAGGUUGCCUGCUUCAAAAUCUUCUGAUUAUAACUGUGCUUCUAAGAUACUAGAACAAAAAACACUAGAGCCAUUUUGAAGCAAAGGCACAUAAAUUACCCAGCAGCUACUGAAUGUUUCUCUAGACUUCCAGAAAUAUUGCCUCUCAUGGGAGCCACUUAUUUUUUCUGCAUAUCUAAAGCAUAAAAAAGGUUUCAUAUACAGUUAAAAGGAAGAAGAACAGACCUGAGAACUAUGCACCAUUUCCCCUGUUCUUUCUUGUUCAUCUUCGGCAGGAAAGAAAGAAAAAACCCUAUUUCUUUGCUCUUUGCCAUUAUUAUAGCAUAAAAUGUAUGAUAUGUGUGUGGCUUCAUAGCUCAUAAAAAAUUUUUCCUGUACUGUGCUUAAUUAAUAUUACCACAUUGGGUCAUCCAAAGUCCAAAAAGAUCUGAACAAACUGAAAAUGAACAACUGACGCCACUAAUGCUGUAGAAAACUAGAAUGAUGCAAUAUGCAUAAAGCCACUCUAAGUCUCACUAAUUCCACAUGUGCCAGUCCUGACUCUGCUCUGUAUUGCCAGUUACAAGCAGUGAAAUUCACCAUGACACAGAGGGAUUUAAAAAUUAACCUCCAGCUAUUCCUCUAAGUACCAUUCACUAGAACGUGAUGAUCGCUCACGGGAAAGUUUGCAAGGUCUUGCAAAGUGCCUAUUGAGACUGAAUGGUAAAGCAAUAUACUCUCAGGAGUCCCUGCUGCUUUUCAAAGUGCAGCUCUAUAACCCUUGCCAAAAGUCAGAAUAAUCUCAUGUUGCCAUACUUUUAACUCUCUUAGGUGGCUUUGAAAGCCGUAGCAUACAAGGUUUCCAUCAUGCUGACAGGUUUGAGUCUGCAGUUUCUUCUUGAGGGCUGGAAUUCUUUGUAAUUUUUCAACUCUAUUGCUCAAAGUAACUUUGACAUCUUUCAUUUGGUCUUUGUUUCCUUCUGCAUUUUGUCCCUUUUUUCCUGGAGCUGUGAAUCACAUUUCUCACCUAUUUACAAAUAUUUUAUAAGGGGUUUUCCUUGCCAUGGGUCAGCUGACCAUGCUUGCUUUUCAGAGGGAUGUGAAAAAAGAGAUAGAAGAGACCUACAUACAUAAUUAAUAUACAGAUAAUUUAUAGCACUGGUUUCCCCAUUUAGACAAAAUUAGAUAACUUUAUGGGAAAAUGCAUGACUGCAGUUUAUGGAGAGCAGAGACUUUAAUAUUUGUGCAGCUAGCCAAGAUUUCUUCAGUUCAUGCUUUUGUUUCUGCUAUUGUUUGCAACCACACAUGACAAUUGUGUCUCUCUC